rnacentral:rRNA from 1 species
UACGUAGGGUGCAAGCGUUAAUCGGGAUUACUGGGCGUAAAGCGUGCGCAGGCGGUUGUGCAAGACAGAUGUGAAAUCCCCGGGCUCAACCUGGGAACUGCAUUUGUGACUGCACGGCUGGAGUGCGGCAGAGGGGGAUGGAAUUCCGCGUGUAGCAGUGAAAUGCGUAGAUAUGCGGAGGAACACCGAUGGCGAAGGCAAUCCCCUGGGCCUGCACUGACGCUCAUGCACGAAAGCGUGGGGAGCAAACAGG